rnacentral:lncRNA from 1 species
GCUUGGCUCUUAAGAUGCGUGUCUGCCGCCGCUCCCAGCCAAAUAAAAAACCUCUUCCUUCUUUAAUCCAGUGUCUGAGGAGUUUUGUCUGCGACUCGUCCUGCUACAUUUCUUGGUUCCCUGACCGGGAAGCGACGUGAUUAAUGGAUGGUCGAGGCAGCCACUUAGGCCGCUUAGGCCUGCCCUGUGGAACAUCCCUGCGGGGGACUCGGACCAGCUCGAGCGAUGCGGAUCCUGAGAGCGCUCCUGGGUAGGCAAUUGCCUGGGUGGAACACCUCGUCAGAGCAGUGUGUGGCAGGCCCCUGCGGAGGAUCAACGUGGUGGCUGAACACCGGGAAGGAACUGGCACUUUAAGUCUGGACGUCUGAAACUUGAAACUCAUUAAUCUUCAAAGGCUUCAAGACUGGCACAGGUGAAUCCAAUAUUCCUAUAUGACCUACUUUACUGAACUGGAAAAACUGCAUGCUGACAGCACAAAUGAUCUGUAAGAAGAGAUGCAGGUUGUAUGAUAUGUCAGCCUCGCAGAGAACUUUCCAAAUACCACUGGGAGAACCAGAGCAACAUGACAGCUCCACAGUAUAGCCCAAAAUACUG